GAAGCUGGCCAGACAGCCACUGCGUAUCCUCGGAUACGGAGAGGAAAGUCCGGGCUCCAAAGGGUAGGGUGACGGUUAACGACCGUCCGCCGUGAGGCGAGGAACAGGGCCACAGAGACGAGUCUUGGCGCGCAAGCGCCAAGGGUGAAACGCGGCAACCUCCACCCGGAGCAACACCAAGUAGGCAAGCGACGACGCGACCCGCCGAGCUUGCGGGUAGGUGGCUUGAGCCUUGGAGCAAUUCAAGGCCUAGAGGAAUGGCUGUCAGGGGCUGCCAAGCUCCGCACAGAACCCGGCUUAUCGGCCAGCUUCUUCU
rnacentral:RNase_P_RNA from 1 species